GGGUGGUGGCCCGGCGGCUUCUCACGGAGGUCGUGUGGAGCCGGGUAACAGCCGGGGGCCGGGCUGCUUCUGUUCGGGCCGGGGCGCCCUCAGUGGUCGGCCGAGGAGCGUGGCCAUGCUCCCCGGACGGGGUUUGCAGUCGAGGUGUGCGGUAGCAGGGGCGCGGUGUCGGCUGCUCUCCGUGCCGGCCGGGCUCCGCCGAUAAGGGCGCUUGGCUGGGCCGCGCUGGCCCUCGGCAGAGCGGCCUCCCUGCAGAGCCCAGCUGAGGCGAGGCUGACGCCUGCCACGAGCUGUGCCCAGGGAAGGGGGCGCCGCACAAACCGGUGGUUGUCGCCUUGGCGGUGCCGGAGUAGUGAGGUACAAGGAAACUUGCUGAGGGACCGGCAGGCCGCGGAGCUGGGGCCCGCGGCUUGGUUUCAAAUUCUAUUUGCUGAAAGCACAUCCCCUAGAUCAGUUAGUCCUAGUAUUGCAUAUUUUUCCUUUUGAAGUAGGACAUCGUAUUCUGUAUUUAUUCGGCUAAAUAAAUAAGAAAUUGCCAAGAGAUAACGAACGGGAGCUACGUGCGUGUUUCCCCGCUCGCUGCCACAGGAGACGUUCAAAUGUCAUGAGUCACGUUUGGUUUGUACUGUAUGUUUGAGCAGUUCUCGUUCCAGGAAGUAUAAGACCCAUAUUCUCGGUUUUAAUAAUAUUAACCCGCCAUAAAUGCUUGGGCCCUAAACUCUGUUACUAGUGGUGUUUUAACCUAGUAUGUCUUACUGCUGUUCAGUAUUUCACAUAGUAGUGUCAGAAGGGAUUAUACUACAGUAUAUUUUAAAGUACAGAUCUAUACAUCACUUAUAUUGUGAAGUUACAUAUUUACCCAUUUUUAUGUAUUUUUUUUUCUUUCUGUGAGAAGCUAUUCAAUAGUGUGCUAAAUAAGAAUGAAAACCCCAAGUUAAUUUCACAUGACUCAUUGUGAUUGAAGAAUUGGAGGAUGUGUGUGUCAGGAUUGGUAAUAUGUCUGUACAGGUCAAAUAUUGUCUUAUUAAUGGAAUGAAGAAAACCUAGGUAUUGCUUUCCUGUGUUUAAAAAAAGCCAAAUAACUCUCUAAUUCAUCUUUCACAAAGUCAAAGAUAAGUUAUUUGCAAAGGUUUCUGCCUUUAAGCAUUUAAGUUUGUUAAUGUGCCUCACCGAAAUUAUUUAACACAGCUAUCAAAAUCACAAUCUAGUGCAAAGAAUACAACAUUUUUAAUGUCCCUAUUGCUUAUGCAAGUUUUCAAUUUUCAUCCUACAUUUCCUUUGUUGAAAUAUUGAACAACAUCUCCUUCCUGUUUUGAGUUCUGUUUCCCUCCUUUUGUUUGUUGCAUAUAUUUUAUGUGUCUUUUUAGGGGUUUAGGUAGGAGUUUCUUUUCCCACAAUUAAUAACCUUCUGGUUUGACAGCUAACCCAUUAGGUACAAAAUUGUUAUGCCCAUUCAUCAAAAGAUGUGCUUUACUAGAAAACCUCUGGUCAAUUAGAAAAUAUUUGAUACAAUAAUAAGAUAAUUAAAUGACCAGACAAGUAUAAAACUACUGAGAAUAACUCUGCUGAAGCCUCUGGAGGAAAUUCUGUCUUUGCUUAGUCUACUCAAAAAGCCAAAAGUACCUGUUGUGGUACUAGGAGCACCUCAAAAAUGUUUUUGAAGGUAGAAAUCUGAUUACAAACAGGAAGAAAUUUUGAAUGUGUGUGUUAAAUAACAGAAACCACUGGAGUGAGUUAUUUAUAAACAAGCUGAGAAUUUCCAUGGAACUCUUACCGUGUGGAUUUGGAAAAGCAGUUAUUAGUUUUCAGGGAUCAAUGCCAAAGUCUGGUCUGCUGCACCGUCACACAGAGAAGUACUACCUCAACUGAAGAGGCGUAGUAUAUGAGCAGAGAGUUGGAGCUGCUUCAGUUGGCACUGACACCAAAAGAAACACGAUGCCCUUUGCAGAGAACGUAAAUACUUCACCAACGCAUAUUACAUCAAUAUGAAUGCCAUCUAUGUAAUCUUCAGACAGCUAAUUUUACAUACUGGGUCUUCACAGCUAUCUUUUAAAUAGAUUUUUGAAGGAAUAGGGUUACAAGAACUUGGUGCAUUUCAGUUAUAAUCUUAUGAAACACCUGUAUAGUUUUCUUCUAAAAAAGUUCAUAGAUUGUCACGGCAUAAGUCAAGUCAGAAAAAGGGAUCUGCUACUUAUAUUGUAGAUGUAUUUUUAAUUAGUAUUCAGACAUUCAACGGUAAUAUAUGUUAGACUAUAGAAAAAUAGAUUUGCAUUCUAUUUGAAAUAAUACUGAUAUGUAAUAAUUUUGCUUUGAUUAUGCAUUAUAGAAAUGAUCCCAGUAUUGCCAUCUUGACUGAUGUUUAAAUGUUUUGUGAUUUUUUUUCAUGCUAGAGCCAUUUGGUAUGUUACAUAUAUCUCUUUUUGCUCAUUCCACACCUACACGUCCUAAACAUUUAGGAAUGAUGAAAUAUAACUUUUAGGUUAAAGAAAAACUUUUAUUCAAUUUGUGUCUGAAAUGCCCUAAAUGUUAUUUAUAUAAAGAAAAUGAUAACUUAUAGGUAGUUUAUUAUGCCAGAAGUAAUUCCCACUGAAUGCUUAGCUAAAAGAUGUCCAAGUAAAUGUAGUCUCACAUAAUACUUAAUGAAGCUCACUGUUAGGCUUUUCUAACAGCGUUCUGUUUUUCUUCACUUAUGCAAUCUGAUAUUUGCUGUCUACAUCUUUGUCUCCUUAAAGAUUGCAUGUUUUUAAUUGUUGUCAUAGGUCAUAAAUUAAUUCCUUACUGGGUAUAUGAUCCUAGAAGAGACUGAAUUACCAUAAAAUAAUUGCCCCACAGAUCUCUUCGCGGACCACUCAAGUUUUAGCUGGUCAUUAAAUAACCCUACCUCUGCUCUUUCAUUGCCCCUAAAGUAAUAGAAGGACAAGUGCAGAACUUGUAGAGUGGUGACAGGAAAGUGCAGUCAACACACAGCCGCUGUUUUCACAACUUAUUUUGUAAGGGUGAUGAAAGUCAGAAGUAACCAAUACCCUCAUGCUGCAACAGAAUCCUGAUCCGUCUAAAACAGAGAACAGAUUAGGCAAGAAGUACACUGUAGUAAGUAUAAAAUAUAAAAUACUGUAGUGAAUGUAAAAUAUAAGACUAAUCAUUUAUUUUAACUAUUCUUUUUUAAUGAACUGCUAGUAAUGCAAGAAAAAUAUGCAUUUCUGUUAGCUUACAAAUGGAAACAGAAAUGGCACACCCUUAAAAAGGCAAAUAUUGAACAAUAUUGUAAAAGGUAAAAGCUUUGUAAAUUGUUUUUUGUUGUUGUAUAUAGAUUUUAAAAAAUGUUACACAUCUGUAAGAUUACAAAUAUAUAGUUAUGUUUCCUUUCCUAAACUACAUUAAGAUGAAAGUAGGACUCAGUGGCUGUAUGAGUAGUAUAAGAGCAAAUCACUGAUCCUUUUAUUCUUUUUUUUCACUACCGUGCAAGACUGGAACAUCUGAAAAUUGAUACUGCCUAAAUUAGUGCUGGGCUAAGGUACCACCUUGACUUUUGUGGAUUGCAGCAGCCAGAGGCGCAGGAGGAAAUAGCCUUGAGGAGUCCCAGGAGAGGUGCUCCAGCUCUCUGAUCGUCUUCGUGGCUUCCUCUGGACUCACUCCAACAGCUCCAUGUCCUCCUUAUGUUGGGAAAGAAGAAGUACUUACUGUUGCACCAAAACAUGCCAAAUUAAAACAGAGUACACCAGCAGCUAAAUUGGUCACAUUAUUGAUCACUGCUUGAACAACAUCACAAACAACUAAAAUGAUUUGUGAAUGUGUAGUUAGAUAUUUGGUGUGGUGUUUUUAUGAGAAGGAGAAUUGACAUGAAUCAGCGUCUGUUCUCUUAUCUACCAUUCCUACAUCAGGUCUCCAGCACUGUUGUCUCCCCACACACUGGAGCCAGAGCGAAGGAAAAAAUGGGGAAACCCAGAGUUUAGCAAAUAACUUGAUAUUCUAUGAAUCGCUGUGUACUCAUUUGUCACUUAUUUCAUAAGAGAAAUUAUUAUAGUGGAAAAAUAAUAUUCUGACUAGCUAACAGUGUAAGGUGGCUGAAACAUGUAAAGGAUUGAGUUCAGGAUAUAUGCAUGAUGGUAUUUUUGCUGCAGCAGAAAAAAGAAUAGUGACUGAGAUCAAUUACAUGUAAUUUUCUCAUUUCCUCUGCUGAUUAAUGAACUUUAUAUAAUAGUUUCCUCAUAACAUGAACAUAAUACAUACUUCAUAGUAUUCUUAACCAUUUGCAAUUUAUUACUGUUUGUGGAGAUCUUUGAACUUCUUUCAUGAAAAGUAUAAGAUUUGUAUAAAACAUUACUUUGUACUUAUAACAUGAAUAUUGACUGGUGUCACUUUCCAAACAACUGCUCGAGUUCUAUUUAAAAUUUAAAUGCAUAAAACUGUACUAUUAAAAGUCUUCUGAAUAGGCCGUGCUAAAAGAAAUACCCAGAAAACAGAGUUUGCCGAUGUGACAAGGUUCCUGAAAGGUUUAAAAAGGCUCAAAUAGCUUAAUGUGAGUAUACUGUACCAUGGGAAUGUGCAUACCCCAAACUGUUUGCAUACGAUCAUGCUUUGCAAAAAAUGUAUCCUGUAAAGCAAAGUAAGCCAAUGCAAUAAUGUGGCAGGCACUAAUAAGACAUUGAGAAACUACCUCACAUAAAGGUGAAUGACAUCAACCAUUCAGAUAAUGCAGUAAAAGAGAAACACAUAUAAAGAUCUCAUAUUCAUUCAAAAAUAUGCAAUGAAAAUAUGAAAAAGGUACUAAGAUGAAUUUGCAUUUAGUUAACAGUUUGGCUGUAGGCCAGAUUUUCUAGCACUUACAGGUUGUUUUCGAUGGGGGAGCAGAUUUUUUUGUUGGUGUUAGAUGGUUGCAAAUGACAGUGAAGAGCAAGAAUGAAAAAUGAAAAGCAAGCGCAGCCAAAUAAAUGGAGCUCACAAGAUGCAAAGUAAAGGUGUCUGGGAGCUAUAAAGAGAAGGAAGAGAUACAAGUGAAAAAUAAUUUAAUGAUACAGUAUUUGGUAUAACAGGAGAUUAUCAGGCUAUUCACAGUGUAGUGUAGUGUAAGAGGGCUUUUCUAUAUCUUUCAUGUCAAGAGCUGUUAGUUCUUAAUCUACCAGUAAUACACAUAAAUGGCUAAAGCAACAUAUUUUUUCCUGCAGAGGAAAUCUCUUUUAUGAAAUGCUAGCUCAACUAAUCUACCUCCUUGAUGAUGCUAUUUUGCCAGCUGGCUGAUUUGUGAACUAGUUUUUCUCAUUCUCUUUAUUUACCACUUUUGCACAUUACAGGAAGUUUCACUCUCCAUUAAGUAUGAAAAAUGUGUUUUACUGAACUAUUUGAGAGACAAAUAUAUGUAUUUAUAAAAUAAUUUCUCAAAAAAAAACCAAACCCAAAACCCAACCUGAGGAAACUGUCAGUGGAAUGAUGUCUAGUUCAAUUUAGAAAAUUAUGGUUUAGAAAUGGGCACUAGACAUUUCCUAUUUAUCAUGUUUUAGUGAAGACAGAUAUUAUUUUCUCUUUUUUCCUUUUCUUUUCCUGGAAACAACAGCUCUGUAAAUUCAACCUUGUCUCAAAGCUAAGUUGUGUUGUCUAAGAUUCACCAUCACUGAGGGUUGUGCAGUCACCGAGUUCAAAUGUUUUUCUUCCAUCGCUGUGUAUUUAUACAUACCCCACACACAGAUGUCAGAGAGCAGUGUGCUGGGGUUUACAUUUUUAGUAUAGUGGUAGAACCACUCAGGAUUUACAUGACUACUUUGUCUAAAACAUUUUGCCUAGCAAACAAAAAGAAGCAGACUCGUUCCUCUCACAGUAUCUGUUGAGCAAUGCUCUUUCAUUGUGUUACAAGCAUCUCCUUGUGAGGAUUAUUUCAAUAUGAUUUUACUAUGGUGCACAUGAUCUAUGUAACUUUUAUAAAAAGUGGUCAUACUGCUAAAAAAGGUGGUUGAAUCACUUUCUGAAGGCAAUUACACAAUUUCUGAACUAAAGGGGAAGGAGAGGGGUUUAGAAUAAUAUUGGCCUGGUUGUAGUGUUUUGUUUGGUUGACUGCUGAUGGCAUAAACAAAUGUAUUUCUUAAUCAUGAAUGGGUAGAAGUAAAAUGACUUCCUCUGGAACUUGCCAACUUUCCUUCCAUUGCGCACAGUGCCCUCACGUGGCUUUCUCAUUUUCCUAAUGCAGCGGACAGAGAUGAUAUACAGUGUUUGAACAGUUCUCUGGAGUUAACUCUGUUACUGCACUUUUGCAACACAUAAUAUCUUUGGGAUUUCAUGCAUAUAAGCUAAAGCAUGAAAACUACAAACAACAGCUUAUUUACUAUAGUCAGCUUCAAGUGUAGUUUCAUAUUCAAAUCAAAAACCCUGAAAGCAAAAUCCCAAUAAUUAAUUCAAACCCAGCCAGGUAAUGACCCAGCCAGGACUCCUCCAUUUUCAGCAAGUCAGAAAAAAAAGUCAUAGAAGAGCUGCAUUGGAAGCUCUUUUAUUCUUUUUCGAAGUUUGCUUAGAUUACUAAUGUGAUGAAUAGGAACACUGAAACCUCUUAAAUGCCAGAUUACUUGUUUGUUAGUAAAUUAUUACAUGUAAUUCCACCGAGGCUGUAACAACUAAGUACCUGAGGUGUCUGCGUUUGAUACACUCACUGAACAGGAAGGAUACACAACCUUGUCAUGGAACAAAGGGAAGCUCCACAAGCUUUUACUAUUUUGAUACCUCACAUAUAAAGCUAUCUUGUAUCUGAAAAGUCCCUGGAUUCAGAGUUACCGUAUUAUAAAAGUUUUACAACUCAUUGAUCUUCAAGUACAAGUUUUAAAUAUGCAAUUUUACUUGUCAACAAUGUUACAGAACAAUUUUUUUAGCAUUUUUUUUCAAAAAUAUAGGAAAAGAAAAUUACCUAGGAUUGCUCAUACAUAGAGAUAGUUUAACUGCUUAGUUACAAUGACAUGAUAAUAAGUUAGUGCCCAUUUUUAAUA